rnacentral:tRNA from 1 species
GGACGAUUAGCUCAGCGGAAGAGCGCGUCGCUUACAUCGACGAGGUCGCAGGUUCAAAUCCUGCAUCGUCCACAA